rnacentral:rRNA from 1 species
AGUGGGGAAUAUUGCACAAUGGGCGAAAGCCUGAUGCAGCUAUGCCGCGUGUAUGAAGAAGGCCUUCGGGUUGUAAAGUACUUUCAACAAGAAAGAAAUAAUAAAAUUUAAUAAAUUUUAUUACUGACGUUACUUGUAAAAGAAGCACCGGCUAACUCCGUGCCAGCAGCCGCGGUAAUACGGAGGGUGCGAGCGUUAAUCGGAAUUACUGGGCGUAAAGAGCACGUAGGCGGUAUAUUAAGUCAGAUGUGAAAUCCCUGAGCUUAACUUAGGAAUUGCAUUUGAAACUAAUAUACUUGAGUUUCGUAGAGGGGGGUAGAAUUCCAGGUGUAGCGGUGAAAUGCGUAGAUAUCUGGAGGAAUACCAGUGGCGAAGGCGACCCCCUGGACGAAUACUGACGCUCAGGUGCGAAAGCAUGGGUAGCAAACAGGAUUAGAUACCCUGGUAGUCCAUGCUGUAAACGAUGUCGACUUGGAGGUUGUAAGCUUGACUUGUAACUUUCGUAGCUAACGCGUUAAGUCGACCGCCUGGGGAGUACGACCGCAAGGUUAAAACUCAAAUGAAUUGACGGGGGCCCGCACAAGCGGUGGAGCAUGUGGUUUAAUUCGAUGCAACGCGAAAAACCUUACCUGGUCUUGACAUCCAUAGAAUUUAGUAGAGAUACUUUAGUGCCUUCGGGAACUAUGAGACAGGUGCUGCAUGGCUGUCGUCAGCUCGUGUUGUGAAAUGUUGGGUUAAGUCCCGCAACGAGCGCAACCCUUGUCCUUUGUUGCCAACGGUUCGGCCGGGAACUCAAAGGAAACUGCCGGUGAUAAACCGGAGGAAGGUGGGGACGACGUCAAGUCAUCAUGGCCCUUACGACCAGGGCUACACACGUGCUACAAUGGUAUAUACAAAGGGAAGCAUCCUCGCGAGAGUAAGCGGAUCUCACAAAAUAUAUCGUAGUUCGGAUUGGAGUCUGCAACUCGACUCCAUGAAGUCGGAAUCGCUAGUAAUCGUAGAUCAGAACGCUACGGUGAAUACGUUCCCGGGCCUUGUACACACCGCCCGUCACACCAUGGAAGUGGGUUGUAAAAGAAGUAGGUUGCUUAACCUUUAUGGAGGGCSCUUACC